GUUUGGGGACCCCUACUCUAAAGGCACCAGAUCUUCUUUGAUCUUGGAAGUUAAGCAAGAUCAGCCCUGGGAAGUAUUUGGACUGGAGGCUUCAAGGGAAUGCCAUGCGCUGUAAGCU
rnacentral:rRNA from 11 species